rnacentral:lncRNA from 10 species
AGUUUAUUUCACUUUUCUCCCCAAAGGAGCUGCUCUUGAAUGUGCAUGGACACCUUUUCCCUGCCUAGACUUAGUGAAGAAAGCAAGAGGGCUAUAGCUAUAGCUACAGCUACAUGACAGAAGAAAGUGCUUUAAAAAGAUACCACUCACACGGAAAAGAAAUGUGCUCUUGGAGGAAGACACUCUGUCAACCCAUAUAGAUUGUUUAAGAUUUGAUUAUGAACAUAAAAGGAUACUUGAUUAUAGUAUAAUCUCUCAGUAAAAAGCCCUUCUAUGUGAAUUGGAGAAUGACUUAAAUUUUCUACCAGGGACACUGAAGUUGAAGCAUAAGAUGAAGAAAGAUGAGGAACUGAUAAGUUAAACCAUGAUCUCUGCCACAAAACAGAGAAGGCUAAGGAUAAGAAUGAAUUUGAUGUGAUAAAAACAAACUCACAAAAGACUUGAAGUUUCUCUCUGAAACUAAUAGGAACCCUUGCCUACUCUACUUAUCUAGCUAUAAUUACAUAAACAUUUCCAAAGCAAUUGUGAUAAGCUGUGAAAUUCACCAAAGACAUUUUCCCACGAUUAUCAAGAGAAAAGGAUACAAAGAAAAAUCAGCAAUGGAAAAAAGUACAUGAGGCAGAGCCUGGGAAAACCAUGUGCAAGCUUCCAAGGGUUCUCUCCUUAGCAGAGUUACACAGGAUUCAGGACAACCUUAAUUCCAUGAGCAAUGAGUUUUGACAGCGCGUGUGAAAUGUUGUCAACCAGGGAAGUUCUUAAGAAACUAAGUGCCCAGGAUUUUUAUUGGUAGUUGAACAUGCAGGCACCCUGCCUGGUGCAUACCUGAAUUCCAGACUUCCAGAAGACGGAUAUUCACUAUAAACCAUAUUUUUUGCACAGUUUACACAAAUGAGCCAUUCAUAUCUGUCUUGGUGGGAACCCUCCCGAAAUCUACAUUCCCAGAUGUCAGCCAAGAGUCAAUUUUGUAAACACAUCUUUCAAAGAAUAGCAGUAAGGUCUGCUGUGUUAACUCUUUUCUGCACAUUUUUAUAUUAUGUCAUUGAUUGUUUAUUUAAUUUUUAAUAUCUGAACAUCUUUCAAUGUCAAUAAAUAUUAUAUUUAAU